UACGUAGGCAGCAAGCGUUGUUCGGAGUUACUGGGCGUAAAGAGUGCGUAGGCGGUGCUCUAAGUUUGGUGUGAAAUCUCCCGGCUCAACUGGGAGGGUGCGCCGAAAACUGGAGUGCUUGAGGGUGGGAGAGGCAAGCGGAAUUCCUGGUGUAGCGGUGAAAUGCGUAGAUAUCGGGAGGAACACCUGUGGCGAAAGCGGCUCACUGGACCACAACUGACGCUGAUGCGCGAAAGCUAGGGGAGCAAACAGG
rnacentral:rRNA from 1 species